rnacentral:lncRNA from 1 species
AGCCGCAAAUAGGUUGCAGCCUGCCAGGGGUGGCGUAGGAACAUGCUGAUAACCACGAAUAGCAGUAGCAACAAAUCAGCUCAACUCACCUCACUCUGUAACAGAAAAAUCACACCUACAAUGGAAGCAACAUAAGUACGUCACCAUCAGUCCAACACCAAACCAAUGCGCAUUUAGAUAUGCGGACCAGCUAUUUUGAUGUGUUCACUGGAACAAUGUACAUUUUCGGGUAUAAAGUAAUGGUUGAAAAUAAUGCAGAAUAAUAUUCUGUAGCUUAAUAUACAAAGGACAAUGAAAAGAUCAUUAUGACAGACAUGGGAAAGGUUUCAGAUAGGUUCUAUAUUGGUGCUCAGAAAGCCACUAUCUAGCUCAGAAAUUCAUUUUACUUUUGAUAGCAUCAUCGAUUUAAUCUUGUUUUUCUCAAAUGAAUAACAAUUCCUUAUUGUCACCAACUACACAAAAGGAAAUGUGAAUAAAAGGUUGCAGUAAGAUUUGAGGGAGAAUACCUCCAGGGAAGUUGGACCCCUACUCUCAAAUGGCUUGAUGUUGUCCUUAUAAGUGGCAUACUUGACAUAAUGAUCACGCAUAGGUAAAAAAGGUCUGCCAGCAUGAAUUUCAAAACUGUGCUAGUCCUUGUUC